UGUUAGAUGCAUGUUAGGAACAUUGCAUCUUAUAUGUCAUGAACGGGGGCAGGUAACCUUGUGUUGCAUGUCUCGACGCUUCAAAUGUCCGUCCAAUCCCAAACGGAAUUUGAGGGCGUCACAGUUUGUUUAUCUUUUCGAAGGCUGGAUUUAACCAUGGGUGCUUGAAUCUCUUUAUAGAUUUCAUUGUUUAUCUUUUUGAAGGCUGGAUUUAACCAUGGGUGCUUGAAUCUCUUUAUAGAUUUUAUUGUUUAUCUUGUCGAAGGCUGGAUUUAACCAUGGGUGCUUGAAUCUCUUUAUAGAAGAAAAGGUUUUUCCAGUUUUUUCCUCUCGGUUUCUCUUUGCAGUCUUGAGGUUUUUCCUCUCAGUUUCUCUUUGUAGUCUGGGUUUGGUCUUUUGCAAGGCUCGGUUUUCUCUUUCUAUUUCACAAUUUUUUUUUGCAGAUUUUGCCCCUUGGUUUUUCUUUGCAGUCUGGGUUCGUUAAGAUUGGUUUUCCAUUGUCAGAUCUCUUUAGAUCUGUUUCUUUCUCAAAAUCUGCAUAACCCCUAACCCUAACUCCCGAAAGCCUAACUGCUGAAACCCUAACCCUAACCCUAACCCUAACUCCCGAAACCCUAAUUCCUGAAACUCUAACCCUCCUGAAACCCUAACCCUAACCCAAAAUCUAACUGCCGAAACCCUAACUCGAACCCUAACCCUAACCCAAAAUUUAACUGCCGAAACCCUAACCCGAACCCGAACCCUAACCCUAACCCAAAAUCUAACUGCCGAAACCCUAACCCUAACUCCCGAACCCUAACCCUAACCCUAACUCUAGAAACCCUAACUCCCGAAACCCUAACCCGAGAAACCCAAUUUUUGGAGUUGGGGUUUGGGCACUGGGCAAUUAUCGAGAGAACCCACUCAAGUUUCGUCUGCAGGUUAUUAAUUAUGAAGAGAAUUGGGAAUGAAUGCAGUUGAAAGUGACCAACCGAAGUGGAGUUUGAUUGCCUAUUCUGCUUAAGUUGUUAAUUCCUAGAUCAAUUUCCAGAAUGGUUGGAUUAUUCUGUUUAUGAAGUAUUUAGCUAUCAAUCAUUUUAAAUGUUAUGAAUCAGUUAUUAUGUGCAUGAUAUUGUGUUUACUUGUUCUGUUUAGGAAGUAUUUAGCUAUCAAUGUGUUUGAAUGUUAUGAAUCAGUUAUUAUGUGCAUGAUAUUGUCUGUUUGUAAUCAACCCGAGUGUUCUGUUUAUAGUGUCUUUAUGUAGACUUCAUCCUAAUUAAAUGUGAGCAAACAAUGUGAUUUUGUGUAAAUGUGACCUCUGUAUUAUGAUUUUACCUAUUCUGUUUAGGAAGUAUUUAGCUAUCAAUGUGUUUGAAUGUUAUGAAUCAGUUAUUAUGUGCAUGAUAUUGUCUGUUUGUAAUCAACCCGAGUGUUCUGUUUACAGUGUCUUUAUGUAGACUUCAUCCUAAUUAAAUGUGAGCCAACAAUGUGAUUUUGUGUAAAUGUGACCUCUGUAUUAUGAUUUUACCUAUUCUGUUUAGGAAGUAUUUAGCUAUCAAUGUGUUUGAAUGUUAUGAAUCAGUUAUUAUGUGCAUGAUAUUGUCUGUUUGUAAUCAACCCGAGUGUUCUGUUUACAGUGUCUUUAUGUAGACUUCAUCCUAAUUAAAUGUGAGCAAACAAUGUGAUUUUGUGUAAAUGUGACCUCUGUAUUAUGAUUUUACCUAUUCUGUUUAGGAAGUAUUUAGCUAUCAAUGUGUUUGAAUGUUAUGAAUCAGUUAUUAUGUGCAUGAUAUUGUCUGUUUGUAAUCAACCCGAGUGUUCUGUUUACAGUGUCUUUAUGUAGACUUCAUCCUAAUUAAAUGUGAGCCAACAAUGUGAUUUUGUGUAAAUGUGACCUCUGUAUUAUGAUUUUACCUGUUCUGUUUAGGAAGUAUUUAGCUAUCAAUGUGUUUGAAUGUUAUGAAUCAGUUAUUAUGUGCAUGAUAUUGUCUGUUUGUAAUCAACCCGAGUGUUCUGUUUACAGUGUCUUUAUGUAGACUUCAUCCUAAUUAAAUGUGAGCCAACAAUGUGAUUUUGUGUAAAUGUGACCUCUGUAUUAUGAUUUUACCUGUUCUGUUUAGGAAGUAUUUAGCUAUCAAUGUGUUUGAAUGUUAUGAAUCAGUUAUUAUGUGCAUGAUAUUGUCUGUUUGUAAUCAACCCGAGUGUUCUGUUUACAGUGUCUUUAUGUAGACUUCAUCCUAAUUAAAUGUGAGCCAACAAUGUGAUUUUGUGUAAAUGUGACCUCUGUAUUAUGAUUUUACUUGUUCUGUUUAGGAAGUAUUUAGCUAUCAAUGUGUUUGAAUGUUAUGAAUCAGUUAUUAUGUGCAUGAUAUUGUCUGUUUGUAAUCAACCCGAUUGUUUCAAUGUUAGAAUGUCAUCACCCUCAACUUCUUCCACAUCCUUUGGUAAACGUACUGUGAGCCAACCUUUAUGCUUCUGUGAGGUUGAGGCGACAUUGAGAUACUCAAAUACUCCCAGAAAUCCAGGACGUCCCUUCUUUGGCUGUCCAAAGUACAACAAUUAGGGCUUACCAUUUUGCAAGUUCUUUAAGUGGGUGGAUGGUACUUUGGACAUAGAGCAAGAACUUCACCAAAUUAAAAUCGAACUAUUAAGGAAGGAUGAAGAGCUAAAAAGGAUACUCGACGAUUUUCAACAGAGGGAGAUUAAGUUUCGGAAGAGAGCUGAUGCGAUUGAGAAAAUGUUAUCCAAUAUACUUGAGGAGGUUCAGAAGAAGGACUUGGUGCUUUUAAAGCAAGAAGCUGAAAAUAGGGGUUCACGCACACUACUCCAUCUGUAUUGGGUUGUUGCCAUUGUUGUAUCAUGUUACAUUUUGCUGUCUAACCAAGCUCAGAAUUGAUUUCUCUUAAGUUAUUGUAAAUAUGUAGUUUAAGUUACUCUGAUCUGCCAAGUUAUUUUGUGGUUUGUGAUGGUCGAUGUAAAGAAGAACUGGGAAGCCAUGUUUCCCAAUAACUUGAUGUAAUUUUAUUUUGUGGUUUCUGAUGGUGGAUGUUACUCUGAACUGGGAAGCAAACUUUCAGAAGUGUUGUCAAACCAUUUUGUGUAUUCUGUGAGUGGUUGUAAUUUGAAGUUGGAUUGUAAUC